GAUGAACGCUGGCGGCGUGCCUAAUACAUGCAAGUCGAGCGAACGGACGAGAAGCUUGCUUCUCUGAUGUUAGCGGCGGACGGGUGAGUAACACGUGGAUAACCUACCUAUAAGACUGGGAUAACUUCGGGAAACCGGAGCUAAUACCGGAUGAUAUUUUGAACCGCAUGGUUCAAAAGUGAAAGACGGUCUUGCUGUCACUUAUAGAUGGAUCCGCGCUGCAUUAGCUAGUUGGUAAGGUAACGGCUUACCAAGGCAACGAUGCAUAGCCGACCUGAGGGGGUGAUCGGCCACACUGGAACUGAGCCACGGUCCAGACUCCUACGGGAGGCAGCAGUAGGGAAUCUUCCGCAAUGGGCGAAAGCCUGACGGAGCAACGCCGCGUGAGUGAUGAAGGUCUUCGGAUCGUAAAACUCUGUUAGUAGGGAAGAACAUAUGUGUAAGUAACUGUGCACAUCUUGACGGUACCUAAUCAGAAAGCCACGGCUAACUACGUG
rnacentral:rRNA from 1 species